AGACCAUCAGCUCGCUUCCCGUGAAUGCAAAGAUGUCAUGGAAACAGGUCUUGCCUUUUCAUGUUAAAUGCUACCAACAGGUCAAGGUCAGCCCAAGUCAAGUCAGCAAAAGGAUAGCAGUUUGUGAGUCAUGAGGCUCUGAAGUCUUUUAUACUGCUGCAUGGCACUACAUUCCCAGCAUAUCAGAAAAGUACAACAUUAUGAAUUGAGAAGGUUUGGAGGCAGUUCAUAGCAGACUUCCACUGAAGGGCCAACCCACACACGCUGGCUUCAACUAUUCUUCAUGUUCAACUUGAUUAUGCCAGAAAGCUGCACAUGAACAGAAAAAGGUUUUAUGUGCUUCUAGAUUUUGGACAUGGAUGGGCUUCAGAGAAGGGAGGUGCUUUCUGUCCUGUAGUUUUAC